rnacentral:tRNA from 1 species
CUAAGGAAUAUAACGGAAACCCACACAUUCAUCUUAUCUUUGUUUAGUUUUGAGAGGUCUAAUCUUCUCAAUAAAUAGUAUCUUACUGAAGUGCCUAAUAUGUUGGGCCUAUAGCUCAGCUGGUUAGAGCGCACGCCUGAUAAGCGUGAGGUCGAUGGUUCGAGUCCAUUUAGGCCCACUUUUCUUUUGCACAAAUAGUAUAAGAUAUUAGCUCUUGGGGCCUUAGCUCAGCUGGGAGAGCGCCUGCCUUGCACGCAGGAGGUCAGCGGUUCGAUCCCGCUAGGCUCCAUUGCAACUUUAGUUGCGAAAAAAAUUGUUCUUUGAAAACUGGAUAAAGUUAAAAAUCGUAAUUUAAGUAAGAAACCAGAAACACACCGAAAUUUUUAAAUAAUAAGUUUUUUAAGGUUCUCAUCGAAAGAUGAGUAUUAAACAUUAACGAUUAACCAUA